rnacentral:rRNA from 1 species
AACGAACGCUGGCGGCAGGCUUAACACAUGCAAGUCGAACGCCCCGCAAGGGGAGUGGCAGACGGGUGAGUAACGCGUGGGAAUCUACCUAGUUCUACGGAACAACAGAGGGAAACUUCUGCUAAUACCGUAUACGCCCUAAGGGGGAAAGAUUUAUCGGAAUUAGAUGAGCCCGCGUAAGAUUAGCUAGUUGGUGGGGUAAUGGCCUACCAAGGCGACGAUCUUUAGCUGGUCUGAGAGGAUGAUCAGCCACACUGGGACUGAGACACGGCCCAGACUCCUACGGGAGGCAGCAGUGGGGAAUAUUGGACAAUGGGCGAAAGCCUGAUCCAGCCAUGCCGCGUGAGUGAUGAAGGCCUUAGGGUUGUAAAGCUCUUUCAGUAGGGAAGAUAAUGACGGUACCUACAGAAGAAGCCCCGGCUAACUUCGUGCCAGCCGCCGCCGUAAUAC